rnacentral:rRNA from 1 species
UGCAAGUCGAGCGAACGGAUAAGGAGCUUGCUCCUUUGAAGUUAGCGGCGGACGGGUGAGUAACACGUGGGUAACCUACCUAUAAGACUGGAAUAACUUCGGGAAACCGGAGCUAAUGCCGGAUAACAUAUAGAACCGCAUUUCUAUAGUGAAAGAUGGUUUUGCUAUCACUUAUAGAUGGACCCGCGCCGUAUUAGCUAGUUGGUAAGGUAAUGGCUUACCAAGGCGACGAUACGUAGCCGACCUGAGAGGGUGAUCGGCCACACUGGAACUGAGACACGGUCCAGACUCCUACGGGAGGCAGCAGUAGGGAAUCUUCCGCAAUGGGCGAAAGCCUGACGGAGCACGCCGCGUGAGUGAUGAAGGUUUUCGGAUCGUAAAACUCUGUUAUUAGGGAAGAACAAAUCGUAAGUAACUGUGCGCAUCUUGACGGUACCUAAUCAGAAAGCCACGGCUAACUACGUGCCAGCAGCCGCGGUAAUACGUAGGUGGCAAGCGUUAUCCGGAAUUAUUGGGCGUAAAGCGCGCGUAGGCGGUUUCUUAAGUCUGAUGUGAAAGCCCACGGCUCAACCGUGGAGGGUCAUUGGAAACUGGGAAACUUGAGUGCAGAAGAGGAAAGUGGAAUUCCAUGUGUAGCGGUGAAAUGGCAGAGAUAUGGAGGAACACCAGUGGCGAAGGCGACUUUCUGGUCUGUAACUGACGCUGAUGUGCGAAAGCGUGGGGAUCAAACAGGAUUAGAUACCCUGGUAGUCCAC